GAGUUUGAUCCUGGCUCAGAAUCAACGCUGGCGGCGCGCCUAACACAUGCAAGUCGAGCGAGAAAAGGGGCAACCCUGAGUAAAGCGGCGCACGGGUGAGUAACACGUGGGUAUCCACCUCUUAGUGGGGAAUAACUUGGGGAAACCCGAGCUAAUACCGCAUAAGUCCGAGAGGAGAAAGCAGCAAUGCGCUGAGAGAGGAGCCCGCGGCCGAUUAGCUAGAUGGCGGGGUAAAGGCCCACCAUGGCAACGAUCGGUAGCCGGCCUGAGAGGGCACACGGCCACACUGGCACUGAAACACGGGCCAGACUCCUACGGGAGGCAGCAGUGGGGAAUCUUGCACGAUGGAGGAAACUCUGAUGCAGCGACGCCGCGUGGACGACGAAGCCUUUCGGGGUGUAAAGUCCUUUCGACAGGAACGAUUAUGACGGUACCUGUGGAAGAAGCUGCGGCUAACUACGUGCCAGCAGCCGCGGUAAUACGUAGGCAGCAAGCGUUGUUCGGAAUUACUGGGCGUAAAGAGCUCGUAGGCGGUUUGCUAAGUUUGGUGUGAAAUCUCCCGGCUUAACUGGGAGGGUGCGCCGAAAACUGGCAGACUCGAGUGCGGGAAAGGAAAGCGGAAUUCCUGGUGUAGCGGUGAAAUGCGUAGAUAUCAGGAGGAACACCUGUGGUGUAGACGACUUUCUGGACCGUAACUGACGCUGAGGAGCGAAAGCGUGGGUAGCAAACAGGAUUAGAUACCCUGGUAGUCC
rnacentral:rRNA from 1 species